GAAAACACAGCCGCGUACCUGCGCGGCGACGCACGCGCCGGCUAAACGCCGACAUUUAACCAACGUUACAUUACGUUGGAGAAUGAAGACAGAUGAUGCCGUUUGGGGUGUGUACCGCUAGUGACAGCUAGCUGGUGUUAGCUGCAUGACGUUCAUUUAGGGAACUCCCUCGUCGAACGGCGUUAGAGAGUCGCAGUUGUUCGCUGCACUGCGCGUAGUUUAGGGAAAGGGGGCAAUUUAAACGUGACGAAUGAGCCGGAUUCACCGACGUUAACAUCCAGACGGUUCCAGCCGGACGGCGGGAAGGAAAACUGUGACACGGCCGAGGACGGACCGAUCAACUUCAUGGAGUCCUGGAAGGACAAGAAGCCCAACAGCGGUGGAGAGCAACGCAUUACGACAAAUGCUCAGAUUUGAUUUGCAAUCUAGAAAUUUCAAUGUGUUUCCUCGUGUCUCAGGGACUCAAUUAAAAUACAGGUACAAGUAUUUCAGACUACUUCACAACACUGCAGAGAAAAUUUGGCAAUAAAAGACCGACCUUAUUUAAGUCAUGGUAGUCAAAGCGUUGCAGUUACGAUUGUUUGGUUGCAUUGGGAUGAUUCAGAGGUUCCAUGUGGAGGCUCUUUUUAUUCCUCGGUCCAAUCCGGCACAGCUUCCUGCCACUCGGGCCUUAAUUAAGCCCGAGGCCCUGGGGCCCAUUGAGCCAUCCGGAUGACCUCCAGGCGACCCCGGCCAAUCCCUAAACCGCUUCAAGACCUCCUCCUCCUGAAUCCUGUGAGUCAGAAAUAUGUGUGCAGAUGUCUCGAUACUGUCUCACUCUAAAAGUCAUUUCAACUUAAACCAAUUUAUAGUGUCUUCUGUGACACGUCACGCUCCGGCCUGUUAAGUCUUCUGAUCUUAAGCAGGUAGCAGUGCAGUGUCACUAAAUGACAGAAUAACAUUUAAUGUGGGUAAAUACAUACAAAACCUGUGAGUGCAGUAGAAGUCACUUUUUCUAGAGCUGUAAAAGUCAUGCUAGUGUUAUAAAUAUGUUCUAUGCAGUUCAAUGACUAGCAGUUGUUUUUAAGGAGAGCGGUAAUUAUAUCUCCAUAGAUACUGCAGCGCGGCUCCAUUGCAGCUAAAAAACACCAAUCUCACAGGUGUAGCGUGGCCACAUUUUAAGUGAAAUCCUUUAUAUCCAUUUAUUUUGUAUUAACAUUCUCAUGAUCCUCUUCACUGAUUAGAGGUCAUUAAUAAUGUGUGUUCUAAUGUUUCUGGAGAGACGUUGAAGCAUCCGGCCGGGGAGGUUUGUGUCGAUGGACACCGUUAUGUUCGUGAUAUCUCCACUAAACGUCCUAACGUUUCCCAUUUGAGGAUAAUGCAUUUUCCACUCACUUACUGUACAUCUUCUUCUUCUUCUUUCUCACAAUGUUUUCCAGCUACGUCGGAGUAAAUCCUCGUCUGAAAAGGAACUGUGGCAGCUUGAGUGUUCACAUGACAACCAUGGUGGACAAUCUCAGUAAAAACGUUUAAGACCUUUUGCAAAUGGGGAUCCAGAACAAUAAAAAAAAUAAAAGUUGUCAUUCCAUCGUUGUUCUUAUAAACUCAACUGCUUCCAUCUGAAUGAACAAAUUCAGCUCUGCCUUCCUCCAGGAGCUGCAUUCUUGCAUUAAAACGACAACUCCCAAGAAA